rnacentral:rRNA from 1 species
AGGAUAAACGCUGGCGGCGUGCAUGAGACAUGCAAGUCGAACGGACGAUCGAGGCUUGCCUUGAUCGUUAGUGGCGGACGGCUGAGUAACGCGUAGGUGACCUGCCCCGAAGUGGGGAAUAACUGCCCGAAAGGGUGGCUAAUACCGCAUGUGGUGGUGUGUUCAUUCACACCAGUAAAGCCGCAAGGCGCUUCGGGAGGGGCCUGCGUCCGAUUAACUCGUGGUGGGUAACGGCUCACCAAGGCGACGAUCGGUAGGUGU